rnacentral:misc_RNA from 1 species
UUGGAUUAUCAUUUAGGGGUUAGCUGGAUGCAUCUGAAAUUCGGUAUCAUUACUCAAGUGAGUAGUUAAUCAUAUAUUAAACCAUGUUGUGUUUGGAAGUAAAAAUGUGGUGUUUCUAUUUUUAUGUGUCAUGAAAUGUGGCAAAUUCUGAAUUUCACUGUACAGAUUUGUGUAAAAAUAAAAUAUGACCGCUGGUUCUCAUCUGUCUUGGUUUUUGGAUUGUUUGCAAGUGCAUAUGUGCUCGCCUAUAUUAAUAUUUUAAAUUUUAUCUGGACUGUUGGUUUCCUAUUUCUUUGUCCUCUUCUCUUUUUGGAUUGGAUUGAAGCGAGUGAAUUGAAAAGUUAAAAACAACUCCAUGAUUGGGGCAAAGAUAAGCACGGUUGGGUUCCUGAGUAAUCUCGGGCUCUAUUUUCUAGUUCUGCUGCUGCUAUUUGCUUCAAGCAAUCAAGCAAAAUAUUCCUUUUUGCUGCAGAGGAUUCUAUUGCAUAUUGUUCAUUUGCUUCAAAUUGAGAGUAGUCUUCCCAAAGGUGCUCUUAUGGAAGAUAUCGAUUUGAGUUUUGUUUUUAAAGUGAGAAUUUGAGUUGUGAAUAAGAUUUUUCAGGGAAUGAAACCAGCAAAUUAGUUGUUCCAUCCUACUGAAUUGGAACUACUUUUUGUUGAUGUUCCAUUCAACUACACUUUAAUCUAUAUGGCUUCCUCCUGCAUUGAGCAGCUCAUUCCCUCUGCCCCUACCGUGCUUUGUGUGGGAAGUUUUCACUGCCUGUCCAGGCCCGGGUAUAGCGCUGUAGGAACCUACUUGUGUUUUCAAUAUUAUGGCACCAGCAAAAACUAAACCCUUAAUGUUUUCGGUUGAUCUUAUACUGUGAAAGUGAAAUGGAUUUGAAAGCUGUUGCUUUUUCAACUGGACUUGUUAGGGCUUUCAAUAUACAUGCACUGCACGCUGCCAAUGCUUCCUUAUGGUGGUGUCUCAUUCACUCUGGUUAUUUUAUUGUCUCGACUAAGUUGGUUGGGGUACUUGGUUUUCUCCUUAGUAAAAAUGUAUACAGCCUGCCAGUUAUAUAAUUGUGCCACAACUUCCGGUCAACAUUCAUCUAAUCGAGGGAGAAGGAACCUGGCAAAUGCCUUCAUUUUGAGUAUGCCUGUAAUUCAUUAUUCCUGAAGAGUUCAAAGGCACAUCAUCUAUUCCCGUCUAGCGUCUAUAUAUGAAAUGGUUUGGAUGAAGAGUAGGGAUUACAGGGUGCUUAAUAGCGAGCUCACUUGCUCCAACGCAUGACGGUAGUGCUACAUUUGGAUGGCGGUAGUGAACUGAGGACAAAUCAAAGAAAUUUCACACAAUCACAAUCACAAUCACAAAUUUGAAUCAACCCCGAUGAAUCAAGUGAAGAAUUUGAAGAAGUCAAACCAUCGAAGCUUCGUAUCUGGAUCUUCAGGUCCUUCAACACUGCAGUGUUGGCAGCACCAUGGGAGGGCGCGUUGUAGUCUGUUAUGAACUUUGAAAUCAAUAUCGAUGAAUGACAACCAGGGCAUCCUACAAAAGGGAAUGCGAGUGUUUGAAUCCAAACUCUUACAUCUCGAGGUAAAUGUUUCAUCGUUAAACUGUAAUGUAAUAAUCAUGUGUAUGUCCUCUCUAUAUAUGUAAUAAAAACAAUAAAGCCAGAAGCUAUUAAUGAA